rnacentral:piRNA from 1 species
UUACAGUGUACAAGUGAGGCACCAUCUGUA